rnacentral:rRNA from 1 species
UACGGGGGGGGCAAGCGUUGUUCGGAAUUACUGGGCGUAAAGGGCUCGUAGGCGGCCAACUAAGUCGGAUGUGAAAUCCCCAAGCUUAACUUGGGAACUGCAUCCGAUACUGGAUGGCUUGAAUCCGGGAGAGGGAUGCAGAAUUCCAGGUGUAGCGGUGAAAUGCGUAGAUAUCUGGAGGAAUACCGGUGGCGAAGGCGGCAUCCUGGACCGGCAUUGACGCUGAGGAGCGAAAGCUAGGGGGAGCAAACGGGG